GCGCCCUUCGUCUAGUGGUUAGGACCUCAGGUUUUCAUCCUGGUAACAGGGGUUCAAUUCCCCUAGGGCGUACCA
rnacentral:tRNA from 1 species